UUCUGCAGGGUAUCCCACACAGUCUGGGCCUCUCCAAGCUCCUCACUGGCUUUCUUUUUUGCUUUACCAAAGAGUAGGACAAACAUUUGACAGAACGGUGAUACUGAGCAGAUUCAUAAUGCCUGCUGAAAAGAACCCCAAGAACCUGCGGUGAACAUGCUAAACAGCCCCAAAAGACCAUCCACCACAACUUCCAAAAAACCUGGGUGUCUCCAUCCACGCUGUGCCUAAAGCCAUAUGCCAAGGUGGAGUCCAGGUCUGAGUACUUCUGGCACAUUCUACACCGACCUGAGGAGUCCCAUUUUGCUCAUCCAUGACUCCGGUAAAAAAUUUCUUAUACCACAAUACUCCAACAGUCCAUGUGUCAGGUAGUUUACUGGCCGCAGUUCCAGUCUAAGGUCUCAAAAUAUCUGCCCUGGAUUACACUGGGCUCUCAGAGUUCUUCAUUGGGGGGAAGGGGAGCGCGUGUUUCUUAUGAACUCCUACCCUGUACAGAUGUUAAGUAAGGGCCACUGGACUCCACUCAGCAGUCACUCUAAAAAUGCGAAUGAAUUCCUGGUUCUCAGAUUGUUCCUGAAGGCUUAUAGAGAUGCUUAAUAUACAUUGUGUUGAUAAAUAACCCAGCAUUAGAUGGUCAUAGGGAAAUAAAUAAUAUAAUAUAUUAAGAAUUAUGUAUUCUGUUUUAUUGAGGACCAAGACUAAUAUAUAUAUAUAUAUAUAUAUAUAUAAUUUAUCUUUUCUGAAAUAGACCAUACCCUGGAACACAAAAUAAAUCUUUACAAAUUCAGAAGGAAUGAAAUCACUCCUUGUGCUUUGAUUAUCUGAUAUACUGAUAGGAUUGUCAGACCACAAAUAUAUAUAUAUAUAUAUAUGUGCGCGGGGGUGAUUGUUUAUACAUGUAUAAGAUACCUUAUGAGGGCCAUGAAUUUUCUUCCAUGAUUAGAAAUGUGAGAAUGUAAUAGUUACAUGUUUGUAGAAUUUAAAAGGAAGCAAAUAGACACACAUUCCUUUCCUACUUAUGAUGGUUAAUCUUCAUUGUUAACCUGACUGGUUUAAGAAUUACCAUGGAAACACAUUCCUGGUUGUAGCUCUGAGUGAGGUGUAACUGCAACGCGACUUGACCUGAAUGUGGACAGCACCAUUGGUAGUGAAGUCCUGGACUGAACAAAAGGAAAAGGAACUGAGCACACACAUCCAGCGUCCUCUUCCUCCUGACCCUGGAAGUACUGUGACCAACAAUGUCCUGCUGCUGCCAACACUCUUCCCCAACACUGAUGGACUCUGUCUCCUUGACCUAGAAACCAAAAUGGAAUCGUCUACCCUUAAAUAGCUUCUUGUCGGGCAUUUUGUAUUUUAGAAAAGCAGCUAACACAUUGUGGGUCUCUUACUGGGCCUAAUUUACAAAUUAGCCUUUCUUAUAGGUAUAGGCAUAUGUUUGUAGGUUUUAAGUAUCUGCAACUAAUAAAUUUGUUUAUUAUUUUUAGAAA
rnacentral:sRNA from 1 species